rnacentral:rRNA from 1 species
CCUACGGGAGGCUGCAGUGAGGAAUAUUGGUCAAUGGACGAGAGUCUGAACCAGCCAAGUAGCGUGAAGGAUGACUGCCCUAUGGGUUGUAAACUUCUUUUAUAUGGGAAUAAAAUGUUCCACGUGUGGGAUGUUGUAUGUACCAUAUGAAUAAGGAUCGGCUAACUCCGUGCCAGCAGCCGCGGUAAUACGGAGGAACCGAGCGUUAUCCGGAUUUAUUGGGUUUAAAGGGAGCGUAGGUGGAUUGUUAAGUCAGUUGUGAAAGUUUGCGGCUCAACCGUAAAAUUGCAGUUGAAACUGGCAGUCUUGAGUACAGUAGAGGUGGGCGGAAUUCGUGGUGUAGCGGUGAAAUGCUUAGAUAUCACGAAGAACUCCGAUUGCGAAGGCAGCUCACUGGACUGCAACUGACACUGAGGCUCGAAAGUGUGGGUAUCAAACAGGAUUAGAUACCCUAGUAGUC